UGGGUUCAAGCGGGCAGAUUCAUUUUCGGCCCCGAAUACAUUAGCAUGGGAUAAUGGAAUAGGACCCUGUCCUCCUUUUUUCAGUUGGUUUUGGCACGGCGAGGGAAUAUGAGAGGAAUGAUAAGGGAGGUUGGGGGGCUUUAUUUUUAAUUUGUUGAAGGAGAAUUUCUUGAUUUUUUAAAGAAUUAUUUUCUGCAAAGCCUUCGGCCAGGAAGGUUUUCUUUAUCAAUAAAGAAAGUUAGGGGGACGAAAAAAAACCAAAACCCGCCGUAUCCUUACCAUUAACCAAGGCCGCCCACCAUUAAGAAAACUUCAAUUACAAAACCCCCCUUCUGUUAUUCUUCCUUGGGCUCAGUCCCGGUCAAUGACUCCCCGAGCAAAGUGAGAGAAAAUGACUCCCCCGGUGAAUGACUCCCCUAACAGCUUGGGAAAAA
rnacentral:rRNA from 1 species